rnacentral:rRNA from 1 species
CCAAAGAGGCCACCUCCUGGACAUUGCAAAAUACAUGUCGACGCCAGUGUUCGCGCGAGAAAAGGAGGAUCGGCGGUUGCAGUAUGCAGAGAUGAAGCAGGGAACUAUCUUGGGGCCUCGGCAUUGGUUAUCGAGGGCGUGACGGACCCAACGUCACUGCAAGCCUUGGCGUGCCGCGAGGCACUGUGCUUGGCGGAGGACUUGAAUAUCCGAAGUUUUGUAAUUGCUUCGGACUGUAAACAGGUAGUGGCAAAUAUUGAUCGAAGCGCAAGAGGGAGAUAUGGAGCUAUAAUCAGCGAGAUCAACCUCAAAGCUGCCACUUUUCAAUGUAUCUUUACUUUCGAGGGUCGUGCUACAAAUUAUGAAGCACAUAGUCUAGCAAAGUUUUCUCUUAGUAGAGGUCCUGGUCGUCACGUCUGGUUUGGCGUUCCUUACAACCAGAACCGUAUUCCACUUCAUGUGGAUUUUGAUGAAUAA